UGUACACUGUGAUCCCUAAUCACAGCUGUACACGAGGUACCGACAUGAAUAGGGCUGUUGGAGAGUAACAAUGGUGGGUCUAUGCACAUAGACAGACGUAGAGUAGAUUAAGUAUACGCACUGCGGUGAUAUAUACGAAUCACUUGCGUC
rnacentral:ncRNA from 1 species